rnacentral:lncRNA from 1 species
GAAGAAAAAUAAAUAAACAAGCACUGUAACUAAAUGUUCUUGUUACUACUUUUUCAGAUGCAUUCAAUACCUAUGUUGUUUUGAAAGUCCAUAAUUUGAAAAGCACUACAAUAGACAGAAGAGGAAGUGAACCUUCCUGGGAACAGGACUUCAUGUUGAAGGUCCAGGUGCCUGGUGGACAUUGCAUUCUGAAAUAAUAAAAAAUGGAAGUGAGAUUCAAGGCACAAGAACACCAACUUCACAUGAGAUCUUACUGGAUGUCUACUUCGUAUUACCAUUUGAUGUGCACGAAGAUUUAGAUUACAGACGCUACUACAGAGGGAUGCUUCUCCAAGGGAAAACUCAUUCACAUAAAGAUACACAUGAUAGACUGUCACCCAUAGAAAGUGGUCUCAGCAUGCAAGAAAACAAACUAAGGUAUUUUAAUUUGUCAUAUAAAGCAUGUAUUAUAACUUACUGAUUUUCAUUUAAGUGACAUUCAGUGAUACGAUUAUUUUAAGCAAGUAUGUGACUGCAAGCUGUUUAAAACUAUAAAGCCAUGAAGCAUACUUCUACCAUCAUGGUGGGACAGAACAUGAUCUUUAUAUUCCUUUGAAAGAAAAAGUAUGAAGAAUACUGUACAAACAAAUUGGCAACGUUUGUGCCCUCUUGAUGAAUCAUUGAUUGUCAGAAAAUGAGAUUUUAGCCUACAAAAAAUGUAGACAUUAGAAGUAAAUCAGAAGUAUAGGAAUUUGAAAAUAAAUAAAUAAGUUUAAAUAAGAGAGGAAUCAAUUAAUGAUUUGAAAGCAAUAAAUAAGUUUUAGAAUCCGUUGCAACAAAUUAUGUAUGUUUGUAUACAGAUAAAUGAAAGCUAAUAUAUUUGUGCUUCUGAAGCUAAGGUGAUAUUCUAAAAGGACAAUAUUUUAAAGACAAUUAAGUUAGUCAUUGACUUUUCUAUGUUCUUUAAUAGCAAAUAUAUGGCAAAGCAAAUUUCUUUCAUAUAAAAGGAACAUUUCAUCAGAACUGGAAGACACUAUUUCCAUUCAUCCUUGUUUGUAAAACCCAUGCUGCUUAUAGCCAUGAGGAUGUUCUCUCCUGUUUUCCAUCUCUUCUGGAACUGUGUUUUGUUGGAAGAGUCUCUCUUGAACAGUGUUCUGAAUUGGAAAACAAGAAACGCUACUUGUUCACUUGAUUACUUUUCUGCCUGUUUAGUGAAUUAAAUAGGUUUAGGGAUGAAAAGACUAAUUUUCAUCCUACUCUCAGCUAAUCACAGUUCUCCCUAUGUUGUCCCUCUCCUGAGUCAUCAUAACAGUUUUUCUUGCCAUUGAAUUAACCAGACUGGAUAACUGUUGUGGAUUAAAAUGUUAGGUUAGUUUCCAUUCAGCUCAGCUUUGUGGUCCAUUUAACUUGGCAGAUGCUCAAAUAUAUUGUUGCAUCACAAAGGAAGAGCAGGAAUGAAUGGGGGCAGUCCUACCUUAUUCUAGCUUUGUGUUAGUGGAUCGACAGUCUAAAUAAUGAGGUGUAUACUGAAGCAUGGGAGAGAAAGCUUUUCAUGGAGCUCUGAAAAAUUGAACUCCAUCUCACAACAGAGUCUUUAGAUGAGGCAAAUAUCAGUAAGACUUUCUUUAGCAUGAUUUUCUAGUUUGUGAUUCACAAGCAAUGUGCUGCUUGUGUGAUACUUAAUUUUAACGUUCACAAGGCAUUAAAGAUAUCAAAAUUGCGACCAACAGGAAAAACAAGCAGUAUUUUUAAGAGUGUCAAAUAGGACAGCAAAGUUGACAGAGCAGUGGUAUAUAAGAUUCCUCAUCAACAGUAAUCAAGUUCAAUGUGGCUAAGCGUUGAGAACUUUUGAGUAGUAUUAAAAAUGCAGAAACUUGCACUAUUCACUGUCAGAUAAGAGUUGAUAAAAACUGUUACAUAAUUGUGUACUCUCUGAAGGUAUAACAUGUACACACAUAAAUGACCUUUUCAUUUGAAUUUCAAUGACUUACAGUAAGAAAGUGUUAGA